UACGGGGGGGGCAAGCGUUGUUCGGAAUUACUGGGCGUAAAGGGUCUGUAGGUGGCCAAUUAAGUCAGACGUGAAAUCCCUCAGCUUAACUGGGGAACUGCGUCUGAGACUGGAUGGCUCGAGUGCAGGAGAGGAAUGCGGAAUUCCAGGUGUAGCGGUGAAACGCGUAGAUAUCUGGAGGAACACCGGUGGCGAAGGCGGCAUUCUGGACUGAAACUGACACUGAAAGACGAAAGCCAGGGGAGCAAACGGG
rnacentral:rRNA from 1 species